GCUGGGCAUGGUGGUACAUGCCUGUAAUCACAGCGGCUUGGGAGGCUGAGGCAGGAGGAUCACAAGUUCAAAGCCAGCCGCAGCAACGGCAAGGCACUAAGCUACUCAGUGAGACUCUGUCUCUA
rnacentral:sRNA from 1 species